GACGAACGCUGGCGGCGUGCCUAAUACAUGCAAGUAGAACGCUGAAGGAGGAGCUUGCUUCUCUGGAUGAGUUGCGAACGGGUGAGUAACGCGUAGGUAACCUGCCUGUUAGCGGGGGAUAACUAUUGGAAACGAUAGCUAAUACCGCAUAAGAGUAGAUGUCGCAUGACAUUUGCUUAAAAGGUGCAAUUGCAUCACUACCAGAUGGAGCUGCGUUGUAUUAUCUAGUUGGUGAGGUAAAGGCUCACCAAGGCAACGAUACAUAGCCGAACGGCGAGGGGGGUCGGCCACACUGGGACUGAGACACGGCCCAGACGCCUACGGGAGGCAGCAGGAGGGAAUCUUGGGGAAUGGGCGGAAGUCUGACCGAGCAAGGCCGCGUGAGUGAAGAAGGUUUUCGGGUCGGAAAGCUCUGUUGUAAGAGAAGAAAGAGUGUGAGAGUGGAAAGUUCACAGUGUGACGGUAUCUUAUCAGAAAGGGACGGCUAACUACGUG
rnacentral:rRNA from 1 species